GCUUAAAGGUCUGAGCAGGGGAAGUAUGAGGUGUGGAGAGACAGGCUGAGGAGACGGCAGCAGCAUGAGUGUGUGUUAGGAGCCUUGUUCCUCUAACUUAAACUCACUCUCUCCUGAGGGAUGUGGAGCUCUGACUGCUCUUUCACACCAGCAGCCCUGUACACACAAACCUACCGCAACCUCCAAACACCGUGCAGCAGCCCACUGCCAAAGAACACACAGGCACACACAGCACGCACACACAUAGGCACAGUGUGUACAAAUCACCGCAUAGACAUGCACAUACGCAGGCACACCAAGUCUUUCAGGACUAAAAAUAAAUUACCAUGGUGAGUGUGCCUAAAAUAACCGGACACAAAAAACACAUACACAAACAUAUACUCACUGUACAAGCACACACAAAGCUUUUAGGAAUGCACACACUCUCUGACAUGAACAUGCAAAUACACCCUUGGCACCUGAACCUCGUUACACCUGACGCUGCCAAAGCAAACAGAAAGCAGCAACCAUCGACAAUAAAAAAGAGAGAUGGACAGGAUAUGACCCGACAAACAUGGGUCAGUGUGAGGGAUGCAGUUUACACACACACAAACACGAUGACACACGUGCACUCUCACACACACACACACACACAUCACAUUCAGAAGCAUGUCAGCUUGUACUUGAGGUUUGUUUUUUCAAAGCUUAGACAGAUUUUCAGAUUUUACGCCUGCUUUAUACAACUCUGCUUCACAUUUAUUCACAAACAGGCCACUGCUGGUACAGGGCAGGAUCUAGAGAGUGGCAUUCCUCGCUCGAGGACACUCAGACAGUACGUGCUGAUUGGUGUAGAGGACCCAACAAAAUCCUGCAAAAUAAUUGAAGAAAACAACAUAUAUGUAGGUGUUUUGGAGCAAGGCCUAGUCCUGGUAAACUCCUUGAGUUGAGGUUCAAUUCUAGUCUUAGGCUUUAUUACAAUGAACUGUAUUUGGGUGUAGUCGCAGGAACUAUGACCCUGUAGUUUGGGAAGUGCUUUCUGAAGCCACUAGUUUCUGAGAUAAAAUAUUGCCAUGUGUAAAAACCGUAUUACUGUGCAGAAAAAGCACAGAACACACCAAAAUGGGAUGAAUCCAUUCAUGACUGUUCUAUCCGUUCUGUUUCUAUGCUGUGACCAGGCUGACUCCAGGCUGCCAUGCCUCCUGACGUUACAGGUUAGCUGACUGUAGAUGUGGCAUCUGAUUGGUGGACAGACCAAAACAUUGAUGGCAACUUCUACCUGGCAUAGUCAGCUAACAUUCAAAAGACUAAUUUACUUAAAUGUAUACAAGAAAUAUCUAUUAAUUUAAUUUAAUUUUUGAGGUUCGUUUAGCACAGCGAAGCAUUGCAAUGACUUUGCAGCCUUUUGUAUAGAUAAAAUUCAGAGUAUAAGACAAACAGUAAGCGGCUUUUUUUCAGGCAACUUGGUUAUGUGACCAGUUCCUACUCAAUCUUCUAGACAUUAAGAUACGUUUUAACUCGUAGACCACACAUCUCUGACAGAAACUGUUAAGAACAAUUGAUAUGCUGCCUACAAAUCUGUUGGAAAAUGGUUUUAACUGUGCUGCACCUGAAUUUUUAAAAGGAGUAAAUACGUCCCCUUUAUCAGGACAAUAUCCCAAGGCCUUGAAAACUUUUAAAACCUCUUUAAAAAACCUAAUCUGGAUGUUUUCAUACGAAGUAACUCCAGACCCAUAUCAAACCUUGCGUUUCUGUCAAUGAUCAUUGAGAAAGUUGUUUAUCAACAAAUUAACUCUUUCUUGACUCAGAACAAUACACCAUACACAAUACACCUUGUGUAUGAAUGGUGCUAUACAAACAAACUUGCCUUGCCAUAGUAUAGUUUUUACUGUUCAUGUAAAUCUCUUGUAGACUCAUUACAGCAGCUUCUCUGCAUUUCUUUCACUUUAUUAAAUCCCUGCCGAGCCAGUGUGUCCAUGAACAAGCAGCAACAUAACUGCCCUGUUUUUCCCACACACAGCUACAAAUGUACUUUUACUUGCCAUCACUCACCCUUUACACCCCCUCCAACCCCCCAUUCACCCUCACACCUCAGUGGUGUACGGGGGUCGGGGGUGGUGGGGGAUCAGGAAAGAGUGUUGAGGGGUGAGAGGGGUGAGGCUGAUGAAGGUGAUGGUCAAGCUAUAGGAGGAGGACAGAGGGGAACAGUGUGUUCUUCAAGUCCACAUGGGAGAGACAGUGGGGUUAGUGUGUUUGGCCAGGCCGGGUCUCCUCCCCCUUCUCUCUCUCUCUCCCUCUCUCUCUCUCUCUCUUUCUCUCUCUCUCUCCCAGAAGCUGCUUCUCAUUAAGCUUGUUUGUUUUGGCUGACACACAGUGGCACUUAGCAGCAAUACACUUAUGCGUGUGAGUGUGCACAGAACUACACGCAUCUCACACACACAAAAACACACUUAGAGAUUUGCUUGUUUUGGAAGUGAUCAGUUACCACUUAGUAGAGCCUGUAAAUGCCAGCCAUCAGCCAAACACACCAACUCGUUUACAUUUGCCAAACUGACUCCCCCAGUCCCCAACCCCCAAUCAUAAACGCCUCUGACCAAAUUAUAUGUGCGGUGAACAUGAACAUAAACAGAGAUCAAAAUUAUAUCAAGUCUCAGCCCUGGCUGUGUUUUGUUGUAUUUUUGUUUGUUUUCUCUGUGCUGGCUUUGGUUGCAUUUGUUGUGGAGUGAGUGCUGUGUCUGUGUUGUGGAUCUGUGUUGUGGAUCUGUGUUGUGGAUCUGUGUGUGUAAGAGUGGAGUCAGCAGGUGCAGUGCGAUGAUUGGCUGGAUGAGGGAAGCCGUCAGCGCAGAGGAUCCGAUUGGCGGAGCAGUCAGCAUCUUCCCAUUUAAAAAUCCUGGGCUGCCAACCAUGAGAGAGAGAGAGAGAGAGAGAGAGAGAGAGAGCGAGAGAGAACUGCAACCCACAGCGGCUGCAUUGCUGUGGGUUGCAAUGCAAUCUCUCUCUGUGAUUUCUCUCUCUGGUUUUUGGCAUCACGUUGAGUGGACACAGGAGAAAUUGCAGCUUUUUGCACCUUGACUUUAGCUAUGAUUACUAAAGGUUGUUGCUCGUGACAGCCAUUUUCGGGGUUGUUUUACCUUUGCUUAAUCUCACAAUUGUGGGGGACUCAGUUGUCCAAAUGGACUAAAAACUGGCCUUUGGUUUUCCGUUAUUUUUAACUUUUAUUUCUUACCUCUCAGCAAGUGGUUAAAUGGAGAAGAGAAAUUACACACACAGUGGGCAGUGUUAAUGUUCAGCAGGAGUGUGACACCCAUUUAGCCUAGAUAGAAUUGAUAAUCUAUCUUAAAAAGCCUGUCACAGUGAGGCUGCUCUCACCCACAGAGGGCAAGGCUACAGAAAAACACAUGCCACACAGCUAUUACACUCUGCAACACACACUCCUGUUCUGUUCUGUGCACACACUAAACACACAGUGCAAGAAACAAAUGCAGCGUUCUCUCCUCUCACCGAGUGUAAUUUGGACCCCAACCCUCCCAAUUUUCUGUCUGGGACAGUCUGUGGACAGGCUGUGGAGAGCAGCAAGUGUGCAGCCCUGUUAGGUUUAGGUUUUCCUGCCUGUUUUCCGACACACAGCAGGAAUGAGAUAAACAAUAUGUGCAUUCUUAGGUCCUGGUGUAUGCACAGACAUACACAGACGUCCAUGCGUGCUGCACAACCCAUGUAAACACAAAGACAGAUAAAUCAGGUUGUGAUUAUUAUAUUUUAGAGAAAACUCAACGGUGUUUUUCACAUACUGUAUAUACAGACUCAGGCACAGCAGGAGUUUGAACACACAUUCAGUGGUCUCCAGGCUCACUGCAGCCCUGUGGUCAAAACGUUACCAAAUCUUAUUGAAUUUUUUUUUCCAACAGUCACUCUUUUCUUUGGAAAAUGGGAAAGCCUCAUGAAAGCUUGAGAGAAAUACGAUCCAAUCCCAAGACGGUUGGAACACUAAUGAUAAAAUUAAUUUUGAUGGUCUGCAAACCAUAUAAACUCUGUGAAUGUUGAAACAAAAAUUGUAUUGUCUUAUGGUAAACAUAUGGUCAGCAUUACUUUUAAAAAGUUAGGACAAAAAUCAUGAAAAAGUUGCGUGAUUCUUAAACACAGCUGGAGAAACAACUCUCAAGCUUAAUCUUCAGCAGGUCUCAGCUGGCCUGGGAACGCCUCGGGUUCUCCUGGAAAGAGCUGGACGAAGUGGCCUGGGAGAUAUUGCAGAGAGUAUUAUACAGUGUAAUUUAAAUAUAAAGGCAGCAACAGGUUUCAAAACAUUGUGACAGGGACAUGCUUCUUUCCAUCAUAAAUACUAGCUUGAAAUGUGCUGGAUGGUCCCUCCCCUCUCUAAAACAUCCCAGACCACAAGACAGCUCCUUGAUUCCAUCCGUUCAUCCAUUUAUUCACUUUUUACUGCUAAUCUGGAUUUGGGUCGCAGAGGCAGCAGCCUAAGCAGGAAAGCCCAGAAUUUUACAUAACCUAUUCUUCAGAGUCCCACUCCAAUUAUUUGUUUUUUAAUUCUGACAGUGUUCUCGGUGGUCUUUAAAUUGUGAUUAUGAAGUUUUUAGCCAAAAUUGCGUUACCUUUGUCAUUUUCAAGAACUUUUCUUCUGCAGAGCUUCAGAAGCUCAUUAGCAAUUCUCCUCUGAGUAAUAGGCAGAGACAGCGCUGCUCAUGCUAGCUUGCAGCCUAACAUUGCAGGUGUAGUAGAAGCAGCAGGGAACAUAGGAGCUAUUCAGCUCUUGGACACUAAUGUCUUAAGCGGCAUGGCGGAAAGUAAUAUCAUAAUUAGCUCUCUUACGAGCAUUGCAAUCUACUACCACACAUGCUUGUUCCACGAUUAUCCUCUCUAUUUCUCUGUCUGGCCUGAAUAGUGGGGCUCUGGGGACAGAGCUUGGAUUUGCUACGUAAGAAAGCUCACUGUAUCUGUACCCACCGUUUGGGUCUGCCCGAGAUAUUUACGUGGAUUUGAGUGCAGAAAAAGCAGAAAUGCAAAUUCGCACUUAUUUUCCUCAUGAUAUGUCCUGUAGCAUCUGAAAAAUGUCAUAUGCACAUGUAGACAACAAGAAAAACAUGAUUUUCAUCGGAGUGGGUCUUUAAUUUAUUCUUUCUGAGAAUCUUGAUCCUGAUUCUGAAAUAUAAUAAUCUGCAUAAUAAUCAAACUAUUCUGCACUAUCCAAGUACAUAAACUUGACUAUGGGAAUUUUCUCUAACUGCAGUUUCAGUUGAAUUUAAAUCUGUCAGGGCUGCUUUUGUGUAUUCUGAAAAGGUCCAGUAUGGGGUUCUGAUGGGGUAAUGCUGUGCAUUUAUUGGUGCACAGUCUGAGCGGGGUGCCAGGUUAAAGGGUUAAAGUUUCUGUGGGACGUCUGAGGACACUACGCAGCUUGGUUAGACCCAGCUGUCAAAACACACACAGAACACAGAAACAUGCACUCCAACUCAACCAGGUGUCUCUGUAUGAAUAAGUGAAGUGUACACCACCUGUAUACACACACACACACACACAGUCACACACACAAAUUCAGUGUACAGCCACAUCUCAGUCAGGUGGGGCUGAUGGUUUGAGGUGUCUCAACAUUGUGUACAUGUGCAGAGAGGCCACCAGAGGGAGCUUUGUCUGUGUCCACAACAGCACACUGCAGUGCAGACCUAUUACAGCUGUCAGCAAAUACUGUGUGAGAUUAUGUGUGAGUGCAUGUGAGUCCCUCCAUGAGGCAGUCAGGACAUUGUAUGUAUGCAUGUGUUGAUUCGGUGAGAUUGGCGGCUUCGUCCCGAGGGAGCCGUGGCUAAGCCGACGCCGGCGCACUGUUAAAGUUAAACACACCUAAUUGAGGAAGACGCUUACAGGCUCUCCUCUGUGUGUGUGUUAGAGUGGCAGAGGGUGAAAGAGUCAGUUAGACAAGAAAGUAUGUGAAGAGAACACAGCAGUCUUGCUGUAGUAAAUAUCACACAUGCACAUAUAUCAAAUGCUUUUUCCAUCAUCACAUUGACCUGCUCAUCGUACCCAAAGUCUCUAAGAGUGGUCUGGGUGGUAGAGCUUUCAGUGAUCAGGACCCUCUCCUCUGGGAUCAUCUACAGGUCCAGGUGUUGGAGGGGGGCAGACACUCUCUCUACCUUUCUCUCUUUCUCCAUCUUCUUUCUGUCUGUGUCAUAAACUUUAAAGAGAAGUUUUCAUGCUUUUCCACACUUACAACAAAAACUGCAAAGUAACAAAGUUUGGUUUCCAUACAACAUGUAUGCAAAGUUUUAAUGAUGACAAGAAAAAUAUAUUUUGUCGUAAUCUGAGAAGGUAGAUGAAAACUGCUCAAAUGCGUGAAAAUUCAAGACUAGUUUUUGUGCCAGAUUUACUCCCAGGGGAAAUCUACUUCAAGGGAUAUUCCGGCAUAAAAUUAAGUUAGGGUCAAACACACCAUAACACUAAGGUAGACACCCCCUCUUGCCGACUGUUUGCUUCUCUAGUUGUACUAACUUUGGUAAUGACCGCACGAUAGCAAUACACAGUGGUAUCUACGUCUCCACGUGCAAACCUCCACCAAAAAGCCACUCUAUAGCCACAAAUAAUGCUCAGAACAGCACCUAACUUCAUCAACAGGACAUAUAGGGUCCAAGCCAUAGUACUAGCCAUCAAACAUCUUUUUAGUUUUGCCUGGUUUCUUGAACAAAGAGACUAAACACAACUCACCAACUCUCCUCCAGCAGCCGCUUGUUUGUGGGGGAGCCUGACGAUUUGAUCACCGAGUGCAGCAAAGUUUCGCAGCUCAAGGAAGAACAUUUAUGAAGAACAGUCCCUCCAGGAAUUUGCGUUGUUGGAUUGCAAUUAUAAAUGCAAAUUCAACUGCGAAUUUCCCACGAGGUGAUAUUUGUCGAUAAAUGUGAGCGUUGAGUGUUGCAUGUCUUCAUCUUCUUAAUGUAAAAAAAG
rnacentral:lncRNA from 1 species